AAAAAAAAGAAACAGAAGGUGUGAUUCACUGAAGCCUCAUUUUUGCCUGGCUCUUUUGCUCUUUAUGAAUUUACAUUUUGAGGCACUAAAGGAAGUCCAGUAUAAAUUUAGGCCUCAGUAGAAAGAUAGAAGACCUCUUCCCAUGCUAACCCAGCCAGCCUCUGUGGCCUCUGCUUUGCUUAGGAAACUUUCCAUGCUCCCUGUCUCCAGAAGCCCGGGGAUUCUUUGGCUGACUCCAAGUGCCCUGUGCAUGGGUCUCUUGGCUAACGGGGGUUGACUGCUGCCAGCUUGGUUUUUUAUUCCGCUUCAUUUAUCCUCCCAGGUUCAGGUCUGACUGUAGCUCAUCCAUUAUUUGGGCCAGCUUGGGGCUGACAAUGCCCAAUUUUAAAAAGGAAGGCUUGGUCUGAGCAGGAAGGCCAGGCAGACUCACCUCGUGGAAUGGACGUAGUGGGGACUCCGGACCCGCAGGUCUGGCGUGGACGGCAUGCUGGACUGGGAGUUCCAGUGCGGGAGGCCGCGGAUGGGGCUGUUCUGCAAGGAGUUGCUUCCUCCGCCGGCUUCCGCACAGCUUCCUGUGCUGGGGAAGCGCUUGUGGCUGCUGGAAUGGCUGUGAGAGGAGCGCUUCUUGACCUUCUCAUAGGGUUCAUCUAAAGAGGACUCACUCCACAUUUUGGGCUUGAUGGGUGACUUGUCAUAGUCGUUGCGGUGAUAGUGCAUCUGUCGGAGUCCCUCCAGGGACUGGGGAGGAGGAGGCCUGUUGUGCGACGGUGGCCGAGGAGGGAGUCCCUUGUGAGGAGAAUGUAGGGGGGAUAUUGUGCUGGUAACCUGAGAGUCUUCUGCACAAAGACAGGAAGAGAGGAACUGAGCCCCGGUCAUCCUUCCCACAGGCUGAGACAGAACCCCUACACCCCUCCACCCGCACCUUGGAGCCACACAGCCAAACCCACACCUUCACCCCUGUGAUGAGAAACCCUGAAACUCUUCCCCAGUUGCCAAGACAAGUCAAGACGAGUCAAACCAAACCAGGGCAAGCCAAACCUCCACUGCAGGCGGGAUUGCAUGGGAAGAGAUGCGUCACUUUUGAUUAGACACGAAUGGAGUGAAGUCUGAACGUCAUUAAAUACCACCAACAAAUGACUGCUUCACACUAAACAGCAAAAUGUAGUUACUGCUGUAGUGCUAAGUUGUCUUUCAACAGAUGCUAAGCAUCUGAUUCACUGUGGGAGGGUCUGAGUUCUGGGAGAGUUUUGUCUGUUUCAUCUGCUGCUAGAUCCUCAGCCGACACAUAGUAGGUGCUUGAUAACCAUUGGUUGGAGAAGAAAAAAUGAAUGAGGGUCUAUAUGUCCAUUGUAAAUACCUGCUGGGUGGAUCGGGUGUCUACUCUGCUUUUUUCCCCCAGAGCUGUGUUUAUUCUCUUUUAAUCUCUUCCUCUAUAUUUUAAUUUUGAAACUGCCUUAACUUUUUUAAGGAGAUGAGCUACAAAGAUUAUGUAUUAAUAAAUGAUUCCCUGCCUCCAGGAAAGAAAUGAUCUAACACGUCAGUGCGCUAGAGGACUUUCAGAAAAAGCAAAUUCAGUGAGUCUAGGAGGUGCUGUGGGAGAGGCUGGUCUUGAAGGGGCUUGAGCAGUGGGCAGGCAAAGAGGAGGAGGAAGGAAGGGCUUGAACCAAAGUGUGGAGGCCCUGAGGGCAGGGUACCAGCUGCAGGCACAUCUGGCCAGGCAGGGGCUGGUGAGGAGGGGCAGGGGGAGUAAGGGCAGAGCUCUGGCCAGCACAGCCGCCUUCUGUGUGCACCAUGUGAGCCAAGAGCCCGACUGAUGGGGGCCUGGAAUUCCGAGUUGAGAUUUUGAAAAGCCACAGGAAAACUUUGCGAUGUCUUAAGCACGGAUGCGUCGGAGUGAAAAAUCCUGUUUUAGAACUAUUCACCUGGCAGUGUUCUAAAACUAGAAAGGAAGGGAGAGAGACUAGAGAGGGGGAUGAAUGAGGACUUCAGGCUAGGGCAGGUCAGCAUUGAGAAGAGAGAGGAGGGAACGAUUCAGGCUUCACAGGGAAGGCAGACAUGGGAGGUGGAGGGGAAAAAAGCACAGAAGCAAACCUUACAACCAACCAACUACCAUUCACUUGCCCCUAAAUCCAUUUCCAGCGACUUGUUUCACAGCCUAAUUCUCAGUCCCCCAGCCGUGGACACCCACUAUGC
rnacentral:lncRNA from 1 species